CCUACGGGAGGCAGCAGUGGGGAAUAUUGCACAAUGGGCGAAAGCCUGAUGCAGCGACGCCGCGUGAGGGAUGACGGCCUUCGGGUUGUAAACCUCUUUCAGCAGGGAAGAAGCGAAAGUGACGGUACCUGCAGAAGAAGCGCCGGCUAACUACGUGCCAGCAGCCGCGGUAAUACGUAGGGCGCAAGCGUUGUCCGGAAUUAUUGGGCGUAAAGAGCUCGUAGGCGGCUUGUCACGUCGGGUGUGAAAGCCCGGGGCUUAACCCCGGGUCUGCAUUCGAUACGGGCUAGCUAGAGUGUGGUAGGGGAGAUCGGAAUUCCUGGUGUAGCGGUGAAAUGCGCAGAUAUCAGGAGGAACACCGGUGGCGAAGGCGGAUCUCUGGGCCAUUACUGACGCUGAGGAGCGAAAGCGUGGGGAGCGAACAGGAUUAGAUACCCUGGUAGUCCACGCCGUAAACGGUGGGAACUAGGUGUUGGCGACAUUCCACGUCGUCGGUGCCGCAGCUAACGCAUUAAGUUCCCCGCCUGGGGAGUACGGCCGCAAGGCUAAAACGUCAAAGGAAUUGACGG
rnacentral:rRNA from 1 species